AUUGAACGCUGGCGGCAGGCUUAACACAUGCAAGUCGAGCGGGGUGAUGGUGCUUGCACUAUCACUUAGCGGCGGACGGGUGAGUAAUGCUUAGGAAUCUGCCUAUUAGUGGGGGACAACAUCUCGAAAGGGAUGCUAAUACCGCAUACGUCCUACGAGAGAAAGCAGGGGAUCACUUGUGACCUUGCGCUAAUAGAUGAGCCCAAGUCGGAUUAGCUAGUGGGUGGGGUAAAGGCCUACCAAGGCGACGAUCUGUAGCGGGUCUGAGAGGAUGAUCCGCCACACUGGGACUGAGACACGGCCCAGACUCCUACGGGAGGCAGCAGUGGGGAAUAUUGGACAAUGGGGGGAACCCUGAUCCAGCCAUGCCGCGUGUGUGAAGAAGGCCUUAUGGUUGUAAAGCACUUUAAGCGAGGAGGAGGCUCUUUUGGUUAAUACCCAAGAUGAGUGGACGUUACUCGCAGAAUAAGCACCGGCUAACUCUGUGCCAGCAGCCGCCGUAA
rnacentral:rRNA from 1 species